GCGAUGUGAACCUGCGGAAGUAUCAUCG
rnacentral:rRNA from 1 species